rnacentral:rRNA from 1 species
GACGAACGCUGGCGGCGUGCCUAAUACAUGCAAGUCGAACGCUGAAGGAGGAGCUUGCUUCUCUGGAUGAGUUGCGAACGGGUGAGUAACGCGUAGGUAACCUACCUGGUAGCGGGGGAUAACUAUUGGAAACGAUAGCUAAUACCGCAUAAGAGUAGAUGUCGCAUGACAUUUGCUUAAAAGGUGCAAUUGCAUCACUACCAGAUGGACCUGCGUUGUAUUAGCUAGUUGGUGAGGUAACGGCUCACCAAGGCAACGAUACAUAGCCGACCUGAGAGGGUGAUCGGCCACACUGGGACUGAGACACGGCCCAGACUCCUACGGGAGGCAGCAGUAGGGAAUCUUCGGCAAUGGACGGAAGUCUGACCGAGCAACGCCGCGUGAGUGAAGAAGGUUUUCGGAUCGUAAAGCUCUGUUGUAAGAGAAGAACGAGUGUGAGAGUGGAAAGUUCACACUGUGACGGUAUCUUACCAGAAAGGGACGGCUAACUACGUG